AAAAAAUUGUAAGCUCCAAUGGCCUCUUCACUCUACACUUCCUUCAAACCGGUCGAGGAGACGAAGGCGGCAACCAAUAGAAUGAAAAGUCAUCGGCUCGACUCGACUCCGUCUUCUCGGCGUCGGUCCCACACUCCAAUUAGCUAAUCGGAAAUUCGUAAAAUUUGUUAGCGGGGAACCCAAACUCUUCCUCGUUUGGCGACUUUCCUCCCAUAAUUCCGCGUUUGCGAAUGUCCCGCCUCUCCUUCUUCCCCAAGAAACUCAACUGGUCAUCAAUGACCCAUCUUCAUCUUCUUUGACAAUUUUUGAUUCAUUGAUCUUCAUUUACUUUGACCCUUUUAGAUUUCAAAUCCGAUCACCCAUCUUAGCUGUAGGAAAUGGUACUCCCGUUAUUGAAGCUUGGAACCCUGGCUUUGAAAACUCUGAGCAAGCCACUCGGUAACAGACUCAAGAAACAAGCUGCGUUGCACCCCAGAUUUAGGCAGUUCAUCAUUAAUGUGGCCCAGAUGAACCAUCGGAUGUCAACACAAAUGCAAAGACGCAUAUAUAGUCAUGCAACUGAUGUAGAAAUUCGCCCCUUGGAUGAGGAGAAGGCUGUUCAGGCUGCUGUAGACCUGAUUGGCGAGGUUUUUGUAUUCUCGGUAGCAGGAGCAGUAGUGAUAUUUGAGGUUCAAAGAAGUGCAAGGUCAGAAGCCAGAAAAGAAGAAGUACGCAAACAAGAAAUUGAGGCAUUGAGGCAAAGAGACGAAAGCUUAUCGGCAGAAGUGGAACUUUUGAAGCAUAAACUUGUAGAAUUGGAACAAGCAGCCAAAGGGCGAGGUCUUGGUAGUAUUUUGAACUUCAAACAUGCUAAUUCAGAAAGUGGGAAUUCAGCAAAGCCCGCUUGAUCAUGUUGCCAGUUUGUCCACUAAAGGAUGUGAUUUCAUCAACUUGCUUUUGAAAAAUGAAGCUCUACUCUGGAUAAGGACCCGUUGACUUCAAUUUCAAGACUCAUGCAUCCCACCACUUGUUUGGUAUGAAUUUUUGCACCAUUUUCACAGGAAAAACAAGACCUUCAUACCUUUUUAUAUUUUCAUGAACAUAUAUUUUUUAAAUAAAAUUCUAAUAAUAUUGAUAUUUUAAAUAUGUAGAUAGAGCUAAGAUUCUAACUUUUCGCGUUAAAAGUAUUUCAUACAUGUAGAGAUGAAGAUUCAAAUUUACCGAUUUCUUAAA